rnacentral:rRNA from 1 species
GACGAACGCUGGCGGCGUGCUUAACACAUGCAAGUCGAACGGAAAGGCCUGCUUUCCCUUGUGGAUUGCGGGUACUCGAGUGGCGAACGGGUGAGUAACACGUGAGUGAUCUGCCCCCAACUUGGGUAUAAGCCUGGGAAACUGGGUCUAAUUCCCGAUAGGACUGCAGGGUGGUGCCUGUGGUGGAAAACGAUUUUCUAGUGGUUGGGGAUGAGCUCGCGGCCUAUCAGCUUGUUGGUGGGGUAAUGGCCUACCAAGGCGGCGACGGGUAGCCGGCCUGGGAGGGUGGACGGCCACAGUGGGACGGAGAUACGGCCCAGACGCCUAGGGGAGGAAGCAGAGGGGAAGAAGGCACAAGGAGCGGAAGCCUGAGGCAGCGACGCCGCGUGGGGGAUGACGGCCUUCGGGUGGUAAACUCCUUUCGACCGAGAGGAAGCGACCUGGUUGGAAGGGUGGUGACGGUAGUGGUAGAAGAAGCACCGGCUAACUACGUG